rnacentral:rRNA from 1 species
GAUGAACGCUGGCGGCGUGCUUAACACAUGCAAGUCGAACGGUGAAGCUCCAGCUUGCUGGAGUGGAUCAGUGGCGAACGGGUGAGUAACACGUGAGCAACCUGCCCCUGACUCUGGAAUAAGCGCUGGAAACGGCGUCUAAUACUGGAUACGAGAAGGGUCCGCAUGGGCACUUUCUGGAAAGUUUUUCGGUUGGGGAUGGGCUCGCGGCCUAUCAGCUUGUUGGUGAGGUAAUGGCUCACCAAGGCGACGACGGGUAGCCGGCCUGAGAGGGCGACCGGCCACACUGGGACUGAGACACGGCCCAGACUCCUACGGGAGGCAGCAGUGGGGAAUAUUGCACAAUGGGCGAAAGCCUGAUGCAGCGACGCCGCGUGAGGGAUGACGGCCUUCGGGUUGUAAACCUCUUUCAGCAGGGAAGAAGCGAAAGUGACGGUACCUGCAGAAGAAGCACCGGCUAACUACGUG